GGCGAUGAGGAUAAUUUCGCUAGCUGAAGAAUGAUGACUACCCUCGCAGCUGAGC
rnacentral:snoRNA from 1 species